UCUGUCUAGCUGUGAUCCAAGCGGGUUCAAGUGCCUGAAGAGCGUAUCCGCCGAAACAAAUAUGAUUGCCUCGACAAGAUAUUCCCUUCAUUCUUCCUCUAUGUUGUUUACGAAAUCUGGUUCUUUUGGGGUUAUAGUUGAUGGUUGUUUCUUAAUUCCAUCUCUAUUGCAGAACCGGACAUGAGAGUUUCUUCUCAUCCAGCUCCUCGCGAAUGAAACGAUUCAAUAAUAUUACAAUAUUACAGAUACACAUGUAUAAUUAUAAUAAUAUAAGUAAUUAUGAGUUAAUAAUAUAAGUAUAUAUAAGUUGAGUUAAUAAUAUAAGUAUAUAUAUAAGUAUAUAUAAGUAAUGAAUGGCAUUUAUUGAUAUUUAAUUUGUUACAUAUUUAAUUUGUUACAAAGGAAGAUGUAUAUACAAAAUAUACAGCUGGACGUGUAUAUUAUUAGAUAUAGAAAAUAUAAAAAAUGCUUCUUUUUUUAGAAUAUAACGUAUAAUAUAAUGAAUCCUUAUUUUGACCUCUAUCGAAUCGCGCCAAAAAUUGUAAUCCAAUAAAUAAAGGUUUCGCGGGCGAAUAUUGACUCUUUCAUUCGUAGGGUCAAUUCAUGACACCUCUCAGAAUAAAUCAAUUUUUUCUUGGUUCGUUCCGCCAUCCCACCCGAUGAAUUAUUAGGAUUCGUUUUCAAUAGAAUCCUAUGCAGUCACAGGUUUCGUCGUUCCCAUAGCUUCUCCAUUAAUGGUUAGGCCUGAACUCUGCAAUGGAGCUUCCGGCAAAAUUCGUUCCCGAGUCAAUCUCCUCAGUUUUUAUUAACCCGAGGCUCUUUAUUCUUUAUUAUUUAUUUAUUUAUUAUUUAUUUAUUUUAUUUAUUUUUUUUUUCUUUUUUUUUAUAUUUUAUUUAUUUAUAUUUCAUUUAUAUAUUUAUAUCAGUAUUGAUUAUAUCAGUAUUAAUGCUUUAUCACACUGCCUUUUAUGAGGUGAUUCAUAGACCAUACAUAUUGGAAUCAUAUAUCAUUGAUAUUUUUGUUCUCUCUUUCUAUCAUCCUUCCAUUUAUCCACAUCCCUUUAUUUUUGCUUCACAACCCAUAAUCAGAUUUCUUUUUUAUGGAAAAAAUUUCAGUUGCUACAACUAUAUGAUUGAUCCACCCAUAUAGUGACUGUUUCUUGGGAUUUUGACAAUACGAAGCAAUAAGUUGGUUAUUAAUUUAUAUGGUUACUAAGUUCAUAGUAGGGGUUAGUCUAUUUUUUUUUUUUUUUUUUUUGAAUCUCAACCCUAAACUCUAAAGAAAAACUAACGAGUCACACACUAAGCAUAGCAAUUAUACUAAAUUGUCAAUCGAAUUUUUAUUCAACCUUAUAGAAUUAGAAUUGUUCAUUUUUGUUUGAUUUAACAGAAAAAGAAUGAAACAGUUUGUAAUUUUUUUGUUCUAUCACUGGACAGAAUGGCAAGACAAAUGAAGGUCUAUUAUUUCUCGUUUAC
rnacentral:lncRNA from 1 species